rnacentral:rRNA from 1 species
UCCAGGGUGUAAACGCUGCAGGUUUGGUGUUGGGGGUCCUACGAGGGCGCCCAGUGCCGGAGAGAAGUUGUUAAACCUGCCGCUUGGGGAGUACGUCCGCAAGGAUGAAACUUAAAGGAAUUGGCGGGGGAGCACAGCAACGGGUGGAGCGUGCGGUUCAAUUGGAUUCAACGCCGUAAAACUCACCGGGAGCGACGGUUACAUGAAGGCCAGGCUGAUGACCUUGCCUGAUUUUCCGAGAGGUGGUGCAUGGCCGUCGUCAGUUCGUACCGUAAGGCGUUCUGUUAAGUCAGAUAACGA